UACGUAGGGUCCGAGCGUUGUCCGGAGUUACUGGGCGUAAAGCGCGCGCAGGCGGCGGUGUUGGCCCGGCGUGAAAGCCCCCGGCUCAACCGGGGAGAGUCGUCGGGGACCGCACCGCUUGAGGGCGGUAGGGGCUGGUGGAAUGCCUGGUGUAGUGGUGAAAUGCGUAGAGAUCAGGCAGAACACCUGGGGCGAAGGCGGCCAGCUGGGCCGUCCCUGACGCUGAGGAGCGAAAGCGUGGGGAGCGAACAGG
rnacentral:rRNA from 1 species